rnacentral:rRNA from 1 species
GACAGAGGGUGCAAACGUUGUUCGGAAUUACUGGGCGUAAAGCGCGUGUAGGCUGCUUCGCAAGUCGGAUGUGAAAGCCCUGGGCUCAACCUAGGAAGUGCAUUCGAAACUGCGAAGCUUGAGUCCUGGAGAGGAAGGUGGAAUUCCGAGUGUAGAGGUGAAAUUCGUAGAUAUUCGGAAGAACACCAGUGGCGAAGGCGACUUACUGGACACAUAUUGACGCUGAGGUGCGAAAGCGUGGGGAGCAAACAGG